GAAACAGGUAGUGUGUCAUCUGGUUCACAUGGAUGGAUAGGCAGAGAGACACUCUGCUGUGCAGCUCCAGCCAUGUUGCUUCACGGCCACUCUCCUAGUUCCUUCAACUAUUCCAAAGUACUCGUCAGUGGGAGAGCAUUUAAAGAGUAAUGCUAGCAAGAUACAGAAGCAGCCAGUGUGGAGUCCUAAUCUGGGAUUCCUGCAAGGAAUGCCAGAGAAAGGAAGGAGGUCAUCAGGUCAUCAGAAGACACAAUUAUCUUUUUUUUUUCCCCAAGUG